rnacentral:rRNA from 1 species
AAAUUGAAGAGUUUGAUCAUGGCUCAGAUUGAACGCUGGCGGCAGGCCUAACACAUGCAAGUCGAGCGGUAGCACAGAGAGCUUGCUCUCAGGUGACGAGCGGCGGACGGGUGAGUAAUGUCUGGGAAACUGCCUGAUGGAGGGGGAUAACUACUGGAAACGGUAGCUAAUACCGCAUAAUGUCGCAAGACCAAAGUGGGGGACCUUCGGGCCUCAUGCCAUCAGAUGUGCCCAGAUGGGAUUAGCUAGUAGGUGGGGUAACGGCUCACCUAGGCGACGAUCCCUAGCUGGUCUGAGAGGAUGACCAGCCACACUGGAACUGAGACACGGUCCAGACUCCUACGGGAGGCAGCAGUGGGGAAUAUUGCACAAUGGGCGCAAGCCUGAUGCAGCCAUGCCGCGUGUGUGAAGAAGGCCUUCGGGUUGUAAAGCACUUUCAGCGGGGAGGAAGGCGAUAAGGUUAAUAACCUUGUCGAUUGACGUUACCCGCAGAAGAAGCACCGGCUAACUCCGUGCCAGCAGCCGCGGUAAUACGGAGGGUGCAAGCGUUAAUCGGAAUUACUGGGCGUAAAGCGCACGCAGGCGGUCUGUCAAGUCGGAUGUGAAAUCCCCGGGCUCAACCUGGGAACUGCAUUCGAAACUGGCAGGCUAGAGUCUUGUAGAGGGGGGUAGAAUUCCAGGUGUAGCGGUGAAAUGCGUAGAGAUCUGGAGGAAUACCGGUGGCGAAGGCGGCCCCCUGGACAAAGACUGACGCUCAGGUGCGAAAGCGUGGGGAGCAAACAGGAUUAGAUACCCUGGUAGUCCACGCCGUAAACGAUGUCGAUUUGGAGGUUGUGCCCUUGAGGCGUGGCUUCCGGAGCUAACGCGUUAAAUCGACCGCCUGGGGAGUACGGCCGCAAGGUUAAAACUCAAAUGAAUUGACGGGGGCCCGCACAAGCGGUGGAGCAUGUGGUUUAAUUCGAUGCAACGCGAAGAACCUUACCUGGUCUUGACAUCCACAGAACUUUCCAGAGAUGGAUUGGUGCCUUCGGGAACUGUGAGACAGGUGCUGCAUGGCUGUCGUCAGCUCGUGUUGUGAAAUGUUGGGUUAAGUCCCGCAACGAGCGCAACCCUUAUCCUUUGUUGCCAGCGGUUCGGCCGGGAACUCAAAGGAGACUGCCAGUGAUAAACUGGAGGAAGGUGGGGAUGACGUCAAGUCAUCAUGGCCCUUACGACCAGGGCUACACACGUGCUACAAUGGCAUAUACAAAGAGAAGCGACCUCGCGAGAGCAAGCGGACCUCAUAAAGUAUGUCGUAGUCCGGAUUGGAGUCUGCAACUCGACUCCAUGAAGUCGGAAUCGCUAGUAAUCGUAGAUCAGAAUGCUACGGUGAAUACGUUCCCGGGCCUUGUACACACCGCCCGUCACACCAUGGGAGUGGGUUGCAAAAGAAGUAGGUAGCUUAACCUUCGGGAGGGCGCUUACCACUUUGUGAUUCAUGACUGGGGUGAAGUCGUAACAAGGUAACCGUAGGGGAACCUGCGGUUGGAUCACCUCCUUA